rnacentral:rRNA from 1 species
GACGAACGCUGGCGGCGUGCCUAACACAUGCAAGUCGAGCGAACGGACGAGAAGUUUGCUUGUAUGAUGUUAGCGGCGGAGGGGAGAGUAACACGUGGAUAACCUACCUAUAAGACUGGUAUAAUUACGGGAAACCGGCGCUUAUACGGGAUAAUAUUUUGAACCGCAUGGGGCAAAAGUGAAAUUCGGUCUUUCGGUCACGUAUAGCUGGAUCCGCGCUGCAUUAGCUAGUUGGUAAGGUAACGGGUUACCAAGGCGGGGAUGCGUAGCCGACCUGAGAGGGUGAUCGGCCACACGGGAGGUGAGACGCGGUCCAGACUCCUACGGGAGGCAGCAGUAGGGAAUCUUCCGCAAUGGGCGAGAGCCUGACGGAGCGGCACCGCGUGAGUGAUGAAGGUGUUCGGAUCGGAAAACGCUGUUAUUAGGGGAGAACAUAUGUGUAAUGACCUGUGGAGAUAUUGACGGUACCUAGUGAAGAAGCCCCGGCUAACUACGUG